UGGAAAUGAUGAAAUAGAGAUAAUUGGGGGUUGAAUGUUGUAUGAUUGGAAAUUUUUAAUAUGUAUGUAAUUAAUCUAAGUUUUUUUUAAAAAGCAGAGCAUCAUAAAAUUACACUCCAG